rnacentral:rRNA from 1 species
GAUGAACGCUGGCGGCGUGCCUAAUACAUGCAAGUCGAGCGAACAGACGAGGAGCUUGCUCCUCUGACGUUAGCGGCGGACGGGUGAGUAACACGUGGAUAACCUACCUAUAAGACUGGGAUAACUUCGGGAAACCGGAGCUAAUACCGGAUAAUAUAUUGAACCGCAUGGUUCAAUAGUGAAAGACGGUUUUGCUGUCACUUAUAGAUGGAUCCGCGCCGCAUUAGCUAGUUGGUAAGGUAACGGCUUACCAAGGCAACGAUGCGUAGCCGACCUGAGAGGGGGAUCGGCCACACUGAAACUGAGACACGGUCCAGACUCCUACGGGAGGCAGCGGUAGGGAAUCUUCCGCAAUGGGCGAAAGCCUGACGGAGCAACGCCGCGUGGGUGAUGAAGGUCUUCGGAUCGUAAAACUCUGUUAUUAGGGAAGAACAAAUGUGUAAGUAACUAUGCACGUCUUGACGGUACCUAAUCAGAAAGCCACGGCUAACUACGU